rnacentral:rRNA from 1 species
AUACAGAGGGUGCAAGCGUUAAUCGGAUUUACUGGGCGUAAAGCGCGCGUAGGCGGCUAAUUAAGUCAAAUGUGAAAUCCCCGAGCUUAACUUGGGAAUUGCAUUCGAUACUGGUUAGCUAGAGUGUGGGAGAGGAUGGUAGAAUUCCAGGUGUAGCGGUGAAAUGCGUAGAGAUCUGGAGGAAUACCGAUGGCGAAGGCAGCCAUCUGGCCUAACUCUGACGCUGAGGUGCGAAAGCAUGGGGAGCAAACAGGAUUAGAAACCCGAGUAGUCC